rnacentral:rRNA from 1 species
AGUGAACGCUGGCGGCAGGCCUAAUACAUGCAAGUCGAACGGCAGCACAGCAGAGCUUGCUCUGUGGGUGGCGAGUGGCGGACGGGUGAGGAAUACAUGGGAAUCUGCCCAGUCGUGGGGGAUAACGUAUGGAAACGUACGCUAAUACCGCAUGCGCCCUUCGGAGGAAAGCCGGGGACCUUCGGGCCUGGCGCGAUUGG